GCCCUGCUGGGAGGGAGCUCGGAGCUUGAGGGGGCUGCCGGAAGGGCCUGGCUAGGCCUGAUUCUGGGUCUGCUUGGAGCCUGCACUGCCAGCAAUAGUCUCUUAAAGCUGAGGGUUUUUUUUUUUUCUGCCAAAAAAAUGUUUUCAGUAGUAGAUGCCACUUCCACAGAGAUCUGAGGUGCACACAGCCUGGAGUGCGAGAAGGUAGACCCUCAAUCAGGAUCUGUUCAGUGGAUUAGUGAGGAAAUCUCCAGACCCUACGCUUCACUUUUGGGGGUGGGAACCUCCCCUCCCCAACCACCUGCCACAGGGAAGGAAAUACCAUGUGUGACAAAUAGAAUACAACUAUCAAAAGAACGCGAAAUGAGCCCCAUGAACGCCAGACCUUUCAGCCAAAUUCUAUUUGUACUGGGACAAUGAAAAAGUGACUCAUUUAUCCACAGAAGAGGGAAAGGCACGACUGCUAGGCAGAAGUAGUGUGCAUCUCCCGCCUUCUGUUUUGUGCCCCGAUGUGCCUAGAAGGUCACCCCAGCCCCUCCAGCCUCUGGGGAGAAGUUGGGCCUGGGCCUGAAUGAUGACACUGGGGCCCAUUGCUGGACCCGGCCGGGCGGGUGGCAAGGGCCCUGCUGCAGACUGGACGAGAAAGGCCAGUCCUGCAGUCUGACCAGGUGUAACCUCGGGGUGCGAAGCAGCUGAAGUGGACAUCCCGGGUGCAGUUUGCUUUGAGGGGUCAUCCCGGAGCAGCAGAAAUACCAUGUGUGACCCAUUUUAGAGAUGAGGAAAUGGAAGACUCCUCUGCUCUAGGGCCCCAGUUGUUGCCCCUGCCCUACUUCUCCCGAUCAACGCUGCCUCCUUAUUCAGAAAGCUCAAGAACCGAGUCCCCAGGAAAACGACAUGUUGUUUUUUUUGGCACUAAUCAUUAUUGUUUAAUUAUCCUGGGAGGGACAAUAAGAGGGAAGGAAGAAGGAGAAGGUGAGUCUGGAGGCAGGGCGCCUUCCCCGGGGCUGUGUUCAGCACCAGCACCGAAUGCUCUGGGAUGUCUGGGCAGAGGCUCAGAGACGCAGCUUGACUCAGAGGGAAGCUUAGUCCUGGGCCAGUUUUCAAGGGUUUCCUCUGUGUUCUGGUCCUGCGGGUGGGCACUGCUUGCUGUGUUCAGACACUGAUUAGAUUAGGGCAGCUUGCCAAAGACAGGUCCCUGCUAGAGCAGCCCUUGGUGGCCAGGACAUCGUGGUUGCCUGUGCCUCGGAGCCCUGGCUUUGCCCAGGUGGUCGCUUUGCAGCAUUGUGUGGCUGGGUUGGAGGCCAGGGUGCUGCCCACACGUGGGGCUGGCUGGAGCUCGGCAGUCCAGUCACAUGACUGGUCAGGGCCUCCUCAGCUCCUCCGUGCCCAGGGAGGGAGUGGGGCAUUCCCCAGUGACCUGUCACAGGUGGCACAGUUCCUGGGAUGGGAGGCCCAGUUCCCAUAGACCUAGGGCAGAUUUUUAUCCUGUUCUCAGAUGCCCACUGCAUCCAGGAAGCUCUGUGUCUCCUGUGGAGCAGGGCUGAGGCCAUCAGCUUGAGCUCAUUUCCCUGGGGCUUGGGGGUUCGUGUGGCCCCAGUCUGUGUCUCCCAGAUCAGCUGCUCCUCUUCCCUGGUCCAUGAGCAUUAGUGGGUUCUGGUCUGCCCAGUGGGCACCUUCUUCCACAUGAAGCAGUGGAAGCAGAAGCAGUGAACACUCCGGAAGGGUCCACUGUGUGCCAGGCUCAGGGACACAAAACUAGAUCACGGGUGAAGUUCCACAAGUGUGGGCAUGUGGCGUGCCCAUUGAGUGCCAGCCGUGUGCCGGUAGCUGAGAACUCAGCAGCGCAAGGUAGAUGCAGGCCGCCGUUCUUGUGUAGUGAGACCCACAACAGCAGCUCCGAAGCGGGUGUCCAGAGAGAGGGGGUCCUGACUCUGACUCGGGGAGUCAGAGGAGACCACCCUGGAAGAAGUGGCGUCUAAGCUGAGACCUGAGAGUUAGGACUUAGUCAUUUAAGGGUUGGGGGUAGGGAGGGGUGGGCAGGGGUAGAAGAGGGUUUCCAACAGAAUAGCAUGUGUGAGGCCCUGAGCAAGACAAUUUGGGACCAGAGUCACAUUUGUGUGACUGGAGAGUGCAGGGCAAGGGAGGGAGUGGUGAGCCAUGCAUCUGGGAAGGGAGAGAUUGUGCAGGAAGGGGAGAAAUCUUGUGGUCCGUGGGGCCUGGUCGGGAGGGGAGCGUGGCUCUUGGGAUGCUGCGUUUGAGGUCUCUGUGGGGUGACUGGGCGCGGUCAUCUAGCAGGCGGUACUCAGCCUGGAGGUCAGGCUGUAGGUGAAUGGAUGCUAAGUGAAGUCACGGAGGAGGCUCGUGCCCAGGAAGAGGCCAAGUGCAAAGAGAAGACUGCCAGGGCUGCCCUGGGAUCCACAGGUGCAGGGGGCCCGGGAGGCAGAACUGCAGAGAGGACUGAGCGAGGGCUGCCCAAGGGCAAGCUCAGCCCAGGAGGAAGAGAGAGAGUGCUCCCAGGAGGAGGAGGAGAAGGUUGAGAACGAGGCACUGAGUUCACCAGGCAGGUCAGGGGGAAAAGAAUGAGCGAAUGGAGAGGUCUCUUGGAUUUAAGGAAGGAGGUGGGUGGGGGCUGCACUGGAGGGGAGGAAGGAGGAGCCUGAGGGCUCUGUGUGUGUGUGUGUGUGUGUGUGUGUGUGUGUGUCUGUCUGUCUAACGGGAGGGACAUGAGCAUGUUUUAAAGUUGACGCAAGUAGCUGGGAGAGAAGGAAGAGACCAGAGGGGAACUGGGUUCAUCAAUGUGACAAGGACUGUGCCUGAAGGUGAGGGGUUGGCCUUGGGGAGGGAGAGGGGCGAGACAGGGGAGGAGCUGGGCUGUGGCGCAGGGCUGGGGUUCAAGGAUCGGGGCUGACAGGGCUGGAGUUCCCCUCUGCUGGCUUCUGUUUUCUCUGAGGUAAAGUCAGAUGCUGAGAGCUGGCAGGAGGCGGUGGCUCUGAGCUUUGAGGAGUGUGAAGAAGGUUGCAGUGGUCACCUUAGAGCUGGCUGGGGAGGCAGAACCACUCACUGGAGGUGCUGGGCCUCCCUGGGGGCUGCAAGGGGAUGGGGGUCUUUUGGGGCUGUUUUUCUCUCCUUGGAGGCAAUGCAGGGGAAGGUAGGGGCAGGGCAAGGCUCUGGUCCCAGCUGCACCUCUGGCCCACGCUGACCUUGGGGAGACUGGUCAUCUUCCUAGGCCUGCCUGUUUGCUUGUCCACAUAACAGGGAGGCCAGGCUCAAAAAGCCAUUAGGGCUCCCUGGAGACCUGGGGUUCAACUGAAGGCCACAGGUUGAAGUUUGAGUCUUUAUUUCAUUCCUGAUUAGUGCAGGAGAGAAGGAAAUGGGAAGCUAAUAUGGAGGCAUGCCUGAAAUGUGAACCUAACAAGUGGGAAUUUUACCACUACUUUGGGAUUUUGCACUGGGUUCUUUUCCACAGAAUUUAGGUUUGUAGGUCAAUUAUGAAAACAUUAUGAGAGCU
rnacentral:lncRNA from 10 species